UUCCUCUUCGGCAUCGCUCCGGUGAACGCGGGCUGUGCCAGCCGGCCGCCCAGAUAGGUUGCGUGGCAGCCACGGCGCGAGCGAAUAGAACUCCUUGGAUGCAUCGGAAGUAAGUGCCAGGAGCAUUUGGUGAUCUCUGUGGGAGGAAGGCACAAGCCACCCAGGCCCUGUUCCCUCCAUCUUGAGCCUUCUGUGGUGAUUUGCAGCAGCAAGGGAAGUAUGAAGCACUGAGGGACAGAAGUCAGUUUUUAAACCUGACUUCACUUCAGCAUAAACGACCACGCAAGUUUCAGAUCAACAGAGGACCAGGGGUAGAAUAGCAGAAGUACUUAAGGUGCCUCUUUUAAAAGUUCUCUUUUGCAUAUCUAAAGAUUAGGGAGCUGUUUAGAAAAGAUGGUUAUACAAGUGUUUUUAUUUACUGUCCUAACAGAAGAUGAUGAUCCACAUUAUCUUACAUACAUCUUGGAUGCAUCUGUAUCAGCCUACCGAUUUCAGGGGAGCUGUAUUGAUUUAAGUUAGUAAAGAAACCCAGUGGAGUUUUAAAUAAUUGGAAUAAUAUUCUCCCUCUCUUUCAGUCAGAUUUGCCCUUCAUGUUACUUGUGUUUCAUAAUCCUCCUAGCUCUCCAUUUCGUCAUUACAAGGCCAGCAUUUCUACUGUAAAAAAAAAAAAAAAGAGGACCAACCCCCCUUCCCCCCCCCCCAAAAAAAACGAAGUCUUUUUACAAUCUGCUAUUUAUAUCAAUGUUUAAAUAAAUUUAGGGCACAAACUGAUCCUGUUUUUUUAAUAGGCCUAUUUAGUUUCAUUUACUUACCCAGGUAUUUUUUAGAACCAGAAGCUCUCAGGAAGAGAAUGUGUUCGAUGCAUCAGAACCCUUUAGGGUUUUGAUAAAAGACAUGAUACCAUGAGUAUCAUCUCCACUUCUGUUAUUCUUGUUAUAUAGUAAUGACAAGAUUGAAUCACCAUUUUUAGCUAUUCUUCAGCAGAACUCGUAAUCUAUCAAUGUGUCAGCUCAACAGCAGUUUUUUCUUCACACUAAUGUGAACCAGAAGGUCCAGCUAUCACUGAUUUUGACAAUUUUAUUUUAUCUGAGAUUGCAUGUAUUGCAGAAGUUUGAAGCAGAUGAAUUAUAGGGCCUAUUAUAUUUUCCUAAAGAUGUACAAAACUUAGAAAACAUCACCUAAAAUAUUCCGAACUAAUUUGUACCAGAUAACAUUCCUAUGCUUGGUGUUUCAUAAGCCUUACGCUAGAAGCACUAUUAAAUAUUCGUGUGAUAAAUACCAAGAAUAAGAUCAAAUGUGGGUCCCGUAGUUUUUUGAAUGCCUCACAUUGCCCUCUCUGUUGUUACAUAAUGCAUCAUAAAGAAAUACGUGCCUUCAUUCUCUUUAAAUCACUCUGGCAUGGAUAGUAUUAAGCCUUCCUUCAAGUCCUCGUUAUGCAAGUCCUUCCUACUGCUAAUAGCUGUCAGCUCUGCAUGGUUACUUAAAAAACAAGGUAACUGCAGACUUUUUGUGAAGCUCCUUGCAUCCCUGGAAUUUUCAGUGAGGUAGUUACAGGUGUAUUGCUCUCUUUCUCAGCUAUAAACUAAAUUAUUACGAACAAACAGGUUUUCCCCCAUUAGAAUAAAGUCCCAUUCAUUCCAGUACAUCAAAAGGUAACCUGUUCUUUUGUUUAGUUGCCUCUAUAAGCACAUUAUGAGUAUCUGAAUGCACUUCAGUGUCAAAACAGUGGAAUAGACCAGAAUGCAGUAAUAUUUUGAACCUCUGUUGGAGAAUGCAGGCAUGUAACUAAGUACUGAAAAAAUACAUAGCACAGUAAAAAAUCCAUGACCAAUCUAGCAAAGCUAUUAGGUAACAAAAAAUCCAUAUGGGCAUUAAGUACUAUUAUUUAAAGUAAAAUCUGUGUUAUACAGUAUAAGCAGCAUUCAAGUGAAAUGGAUGAGACAUCUAUAUAGAACAGAAAGAAUAAUUUUUUAAAGCUAUGAUACGACGUUCUGUAUUGCUUUACUUGGAAAGUGGAAUUUUACUUGUCAUUUUGUAAAGGUAUAAAAUUAACAACAAGCACUUCAGAGAAUUAGAAACACUGCCUGAUUCGUGGGGGUUUUUUUCCCCUCUGUAAAACACAGAGAUCAUUGGUGGCAAAAAAUCAGGAAAAACCUGUCUACGUUUUCCAGUAUCAUGUAGAUCUUUUCGAGUACCCUGUCCUUUAAGAUGGCCUUGGUUUUAAAGAGACUGAAAUAGGAAUAUCUCAAAAUCCAUCAUACCGACCAUACAUAAAAAAAUUUUGCUCUUCCUUUUUACUUGUAGAAUAUGCAAGUAGUAACCAGGAAAGGAGGGUUUGUUUCAUAUUUGGUUAGUAGAUCUAUUAGUUUAACAAUGCUUUAUUGCAUUCCUACAUUUUUUUACCUUUUUGUUGCUUUUGUAAAUUUGAGGUACUAGCUUUUAUUUCCACUUUCCCACUUCUAAUUUUUUUAAAAGGUGCAACUAUAAUCUGUUCAGAUUUUGGUAUGGCACAUGGAAAAAAUAUUUUUUUUAAUUCCUCUUGCAAGCAGUAGGUUGGUGGGAGGAGGUCUGCACUGUAAAAUGGUGUACCUAGGAAAUUGUACUUCAGUGGGAGAUUAAAUAAGAAAGAGCAGGAUGGCUGAGACAAGUCAUUUGUCACAGAUGUUCAUGCAGUUCUGGUGUUUAAUUUUAAGCUGGAUUCAUCAAAUGUGCUAAGGAGUAAUUUCUGUCUGAUACAAAGUUCUCAUCAAAGGAGACUAAGUGGUUUAAGUUUAAAGCGUGGUUUGAAAAUACAAGGAAAUGUUACUGGGCUGGUGACAGUUUGAUUCGGUAGCCAAAGUGGACACAAGGAUGUAAAUUGAAGAAUGCUAUUUUUGGCCUAAAAUAUAUCAGGAAAAUACAUCAUUAAUAUAUUACUGUGGAGCAGUGACUUUACCUACAAGAUGGUUUUGUCUAUGAAGCACAAAGAUUUUACCGCAGGUGUCUGAGUUAUGUAGAUUAUAAAGGGUACCGUUACCGUCGGAAAGCAAGCAUGAAAUGGUGAUGUGUGGACCUCAGAUAUUUGAGCAACAUUUACUGACCACUUUUACAGUAUUUGGCAAGUUUAUAACAUAGGUUUAGUAUUAGUUUUAUUUAGUGAAAAUGGAGGAGGUAAGCACUAGUGUAAUAUUGAUUUCGGGUUUUUUAGAUAGGCCAAUUAUCAUAUUUAGCAAAGUACAGUAUGAAUGAGAAGGCCCAAGACUAAGAUUACUUUAAAAGGGAGAUUUCUUUAAAAAUCAGUAUUGGACUUAUUCUUAGUUUUUAUUAGUUGUUCUCUCUUUUAAUAUGAUUUUUUCUUUCGUUAAGUUCUGUCUCUCUUCCUUCAGAAAUACUUCAGAAAAUGUGUCCCAGCCCCGAAAGGGAGAAAUAUAAUGGCUACAAUUAGCUUCCGUUUACUGGAGCAAAAUGAUUUUUUCCAAACUGAAAUACAUGCGUUAAUUUGCUAGACUUCCAGCUAUUUUUAUGUAUGGUAUUUCUGAGAAGGAGAUCGUAAUGUCCAUUUUAAUGCAGCUUACUACAGUGUAGCAGCCAUAAUCGAGUGUUUUUCUCUUUGAUAGUCAGAUAUAUAGAAUUGUCAGGCUGUUUGCUUUUAAGUACCUGAACAGUGAAUCAAAAAGAAGUAUUUUUGAUACGAUAACUUUGGCUUUCCAGUCUGUGCUUUCUUUUGAGUUUUCUAGGUAAAUGCUGCGCAGAUUGAUUAUCAGAAAAAUUGAGGCUUACGUAAUCGGGACAUACAUUUUUCUACUGCCUCCCUUCCCCCACUUAGCUUUCAUUUUACUAUGAAAAAUGAAAAACUUUGGAAAGAAAAUUACUAUGACAUACUGGUUAUACACAUAUUUUCAUGGAACUGCGCAGCUAAGCUAUUUGUAUGUAUUUAGUAAAAGAAAGCAGCAAGCAAACUAUUAAAACCUUGAGACGGCUAAGCUUUAAAAUUAUAGUAGUCAUUAAAUACAGCUUUAUCUAAUAUGCUGUACCUAGUUGUGUAGCAAUGAGUCUUUUUUCUUUGCAUAGGGACUUAGACUACUUCUAUGUAGUUUUUAUUCAGAGUAAGAAAAAUAAGAACGUCGUACCCCAUUUUUUUAUUCAUCGUAAGGCUGAUGCUCCUUUGUAAGGGAGUUGGUUUAAUACCUGACUUUCAGAUCAUGAGCAGUGAUUGUUGUUGACAAAAUAUAAGCAAAUGAAUCAGAACUCUGUCCUGGUAGAUAAUUACAAAUUAAAUUAACUAACAAGAAUAAUAUUAAAAUUUUAUCUAAAUAUGUUAACAUGAGCUCUUACCCAUAGGUGGCAGUCAUCUUUCACUGUAGCAGGGAUGCCAAACUUUUGGUUCGUGGUAUUCACGCUUAUGCUGAAAUAAUUUUGAUGAGGCAUGCAUAUGGACAUAAGAAUAUACAUGUCUGCAUUUUGGGAGAGGGGGAAGGAGGUAAAAUUAACCAUAAAAUUAGUUAGUAAUUACAAGGAAUCUGAAUUGCUGUGUAUAGGCAAUAAGACAAGGAAUUACCGUAUUCUGGAGAAAUACUGGAGGUAUUUUUAAAACCACAGAAACACAUUUUUUAUCGAUCCAUUGCUGACACUCAUCAAAACUAAGUAGUGAUAAUUCAGAAAGCAGUAGUUAGCCCUACAAAUUGAGCAGAAAGGCAAGUAUCUUGCCAGCCUUAGUGAACACAACCCCAUAUCGUGCCCAGUCCUCCAAAGCACAUUUCUCUUUCGUCACCCUUUAUCUGUAAAUUACAGGAGCACGACAGCAAUGAUGUUGCCCUGGAAAUCCUGGCAAUAAGGUCCCUUAAAUAAUGGGCAAAUACAGAAAAAGUGCUCUGGGUGAGGGUGUCCUUUCAGUGAUGGAGAGCAAGCAAAACCUGCAGGCUGCUGUGCCAUCCUCUGUCUCUUUGCAGGGCUGCCAUCGACACCCAUGGCAGCACUGUGCAAGGGGAGGACGCUGCCUGCCCGAACAGAGAUCUGCUCAGUUUUGCCAUCAGCUUUUUUAGGGAUUUAUGUGGUUUAUGGGGAUUUCCUUUUGCAAUACCACUAAGGAGGCACUUGGGUCCACCAAAACUGGAGGGGAUAGAAGGACCUAAUAAGGCCAGGUCAUUUCAGGCUAAAACAAACAGAACUUGUGAAACUGCAUGUGUCAUAGUGAGAUGAUAACAUUCUUCUGAGAAAAGAAGACCGAAACCUGAAAUUCAUGAGUAGGUGAAGUCAUAGUCCUUUUUUCUAUUACAGCUGCACUGGAACUCUUUUCAGUUAACAUUAAUCUAAUAUUGUGUCAAGGUAGGCCACUGUACACAUUCAGCGGAGGUCAGGAACUAGCAUUUUACAAAACAGAAAAUUGGAAAAAUAGACAAUUAUGUGUUGCUGUUACAGUGUUUCACUGUGAUGCAAGAUUAAGGGCUCAGAAUUGAGCAGAAUGGUGCAGUAUUAUUAAAACAGAAGGACUAAUUCUCCUUAUGCAAGAGUCGCAGCAACACACAUCAUUGUAUAAGCCAAAGCAGGCAGUACGAUUUCAUAGUCACACAGGGUAUUUCCACAGACAGACAACCACGACGUGACUAAUUAGAUAUUUGCAUAUGCAUGGCCCCAUUUGCUCCCCAGUUGUAAUAAUUAGGGGUAUUGCACUCCACAUUAAUUUACACUCUUGUGUAACACUACUGAAUAUAAGAUAGUGGGUGGUGAUAAACUGGCUGGUGACAAAUGUGUAAAUUGGAUACGUGUUUUGAAAAUCAGAGCUUUCAUAGCCAGCUUUGUCCUUGACAGAGUGGGCAGCAGGGCUGGAGAAGACCUGCUCUGCUGUGGGGCCCGAUCCUCUCUAUCGCAGGCAGCCGUGUGGCACUCUUCAACUUAACAUGCAGAGACACUGGACUCCAUCUUGAAGCUACCCCCGCCAUCAGCUUGCCUCUGUUUUUCCAUUCCUCUGCAUGGUUAAAGAUUUCAGAUCAUGUGUAUCUUGACCAGCUGAACCUCUCACGUUCUGCAAGGUCUUUGACUUCAGUUUAAAGAGCUUUUCUCUCACCCAAUAUAAAGUCCGUUCCGGUCUGUCCUCCCUUGAGUUAGAACCUGCUUGGCCUCAGUUCAGCCAAACCAGCUGUGCUGUACCUGUCGUAGAGAACGGUGCUUUUCCCUGACCGUUCUUCUAACCCUCCUUUGCACCUCCACUUCCAGUAAAUCUCUUUUAAUCUGCGGGGUUAGAAGUAAGCACAGUGCUCCAGAUGAGAUGUUGCCAGAGCCUCUUAUGGUGGCAUUAAUACCUUCCUAUGCCUAGAGCUACCUGCUAUCGGUAUCUCAAAAGCCUUGAGGAUUGACUGAAACACCCAAUUUACCCUUUUUUUAUGGAUACUGGCAGCAAAACUUCUUCAUUCCUAGCUUGUGACCUUGACCUUUGCACUAUCGUACUGGUAUUGCAUGACAAGGGUGUCAAAAGGCUUUUUUAUGAAAGGGUGUCAUUGCUUUCAUCAAAGUCACAGGCUUCCUCUGAAUUUCCCGGCAUGUCCAGAUUUGUUUGGGAAUCUCUCCGCUCUGCACGAGUACGGACGUGAGCUGGCACACACACACGACACAGCACAGAGCACUGCAGGUGAGCUAGCUUGGCUCAUGAAACAGAGUUGUCUCUAGGAUUAGGUUACCUCAGGCAUAUCCCAGUGUGUUAGCUCAGGUAAGCCUUCCAGAAUUUGUACAGCACUUCUGACUCGCUGUCCUGCACUGGCUUCGUUUGACAGCUCUGGGAGCAAGAGACCAAAUUCUGAAAUAUUUUUACAGGAUCAACAGAGGAGAUGGGCUUAGUGUCACAUUAUAUUGUUUCUAUUGAUCUUAUAGGUUAAUCUCCAGUUUACAGGUGAUGCCCGUGAAAUUGAAGGGGAAACAGAUGUACAAGACUUGUGUGGUGCUCUUGAAUAACAUCUAAAAAUGAGAAUUAAUUUUUUUAAAAUACAAGAACCUGGAGGAUUUUGGUCAUUUUAUUUGUGGAAGUUAACUAACAUUAUGACUGUCUCUAAUUAAACAAGCAAAAAUCUGUUUUCCUUUUUUUUUUUUUUUUGCCUUCACUUGGAACUUGCUAUAUGGCAGUUUUAUUGUGACAUUUUUAUAUAGCAAUUUUAUUUGAUAUGUUUUACUUCUGUGCCUGCAGGACAGCUAAGAAACUUGACCACUUGGUUUCUCUUUAUAGUGAAAAUACCAUACUGAAGAAUUUAUUCUUAAGUUUGGUAUAGACCAGGGUACUGAGUCAAGCUCAUCAUGUAAAAUGACUCUCAUGCCCAUUGUUAUACAAUAUUCCAGCCCCAUUUUGGGCAGGCACUACCCCAGCUUGUAUCCUCAGCUGAUCAUUCCUAGUUUAAGGUAGUCAGUGACAAUAACUAGAAGGACCUGUCUGAGAUCAUUCUUUAAGGAAGCCCACUAUCAACUUUCUUCUAGCUUGAGACUUUCCAAACUACUUUGCAAGCUUUUAUUCAUACUAAGAGUUAAUUUAGCAACUGCUGUCUUCCGCAGUUUAUUUUUUUUUCAAGUAGCAUACUAACAAAUGUUUUCCUGAAAUCCAGUCAGAUUAGGUCAACUCACUUCCUUGAUGUAGAUAGUAGGGUUUGGUGGGUUUUUGUAAAUGUCUGGCUAGUGUGCCAUAACCUAUUAUUAGGAAAGCUUUGUAGUGUUUUUCUUAUUUUCUAUUUACCCAAUUUUAUCCCACGCUUCCUUGCAUCCAAAUUCUUGAUGGGCAGUCCCAAUUGUUCCUUCUGUUAAACUCUCAUUACUUCUGAAAUCUUAGUUGAGGUGACUGCUCUUGUGCUUGGAUUCAAGGACCAAGUUUUCCCACACAGAAAUUAAGAAGCCCAGAACAAAACUUAAGUUUUUUGGCCAUUUCACCUCCAUCUAAAGGAGUCACAGAGAAGCUCACUCACAGAGAUAGUAGUGAAACAUGGAUUUUCUUGGAGUCUUCAGCACGUAGCUGAGAAGACCAUAGACAUAAGAGCCUCUAAAUCCUGCAAUUUACUCCUCCAGGACUUUCACGCUUCACUUCUAGUCCAGCCCAGGGCUGAUCAUAUCUUGGAGGUUUUAUAAAGUCUUAAAAAGCACGUGAACAUACCUAAACAACUUGGUCAUGGUUGCUACAAGUUAAAAAGCAUCCUUUGAAAACCUGAAAUUAUACCCAAAUGAAGAAAUCAGAAAAGAACAUUCAUCUGGCCUGUUACAUAUAUAACCCCCCUAUUAACUGUAUCAAAAAAGUACUUUGAAGAAAACCAGCAUGACAGGGGAAGAAGCAGGCAGCUCUUGCAAAGGGAGGGGAUGCCUCACAAAUCCCUGUCUAUGGGGUGGGGAGAUCUGGUCGACACACUUAAAAGGAAUUAAAGAAAGACAUUUGACACCUUUUAGCAGAGGCUCUCAAAAACGUUAAGCUGCAUGGGCAAAGAGGCAGCUUCUCACGUGGACAAUGAUCACAUGAAAGAGAGGAAGCAAAGGUCAGAAACAAAUGAUCACUUUUUGUGGUGAUGGGAGUUGAGUAGCAGAGCCCCUCCACCAGCAUGUUCAGAAAUGUUGUGUGAAGGAGCAAGAACAAAAGUUGCAGAGAUUAAUGUGAGCAUGAAGGGAGGAUGAGGGAAGAGGCCAUGAAGCUGAGUGACUGAGCAAGAAAACAGCAGAUGAGCUUUGCUGUGGAUAAAUGCCCUGUGAGACGCAGAGGGUCUUGGCUGGCUCCGACCCCUCCAGAGCAGCAUCAUGGGGCUCUAAUAAAUGCUGCCACAAAAACAUCAAUGCACAGCUUGGCAGUGGUUCAAAAAGCAAGCAAAAUGUUAGGAAUUGCAAAGAAAGGGACAGGGAACAAAGUUCUUAAAAAAAAUAAAAUCUCCUUAUUAUGGUGCUGCGUGAAACUCUUCUACCACUUUCCAAGUGUUGCACAUGUUUCUUUGGUCUGUCUGCCUUUAGCGUAAAGGCAUGGCAACGCGUGUGUUUAAAAAACAUUGCAAAAUCAAAGCUAGGAAGCCAAUAUCAGACAAACAAAACCCACUGCACUAAAGGAAAACAACAGUUUGCUUCGCAGGCUUCUCCCCCACCUUCAGAAAAGCCAGAUGGAAAAGUAUCCAACAUAAGAGGAGAUAGCUGUGGCACUACUGGAAUGCUAAGGGGUGAUGAGAGUAAGUAUGUAGAAUAGUCUGGUCAUAGUUUGACCCUCAUUUGCACCUUUCUUCCCCUCUUCUAUCCUCACAGAUCAAAUCUACUAAUAAUGGUAAAGCAGUUGUUCAAUGUCAUGCUAAAAAUCAUUGAUAAGCAAGAGAGAGCAUUGGAUCCAUUAACCUGUAGUUGGACAGGAAGGGCAUAGUUUUUUGGAGGGCUUUUGUUCUCAGUCUUCAGCAGCCUUCCCUGUCACUGCUGCUGAGGGACACGAGGAAAACUGUAGGUGAGGAGAAGCGGGGUUGGAUGCACUUGGCAGCUCCUCCACAAGGUAUGGAGGGUGAUUGCAGGAACUGGUGUUAAGCCAAGGGUUCUGCCAUAUGCAUGAUGGAUAGUAACAUUUUUCACUGCUGUAAGGCAGCAGCAAAUAUUUUUAAGUGUGGUGAUCAGUUUUGUUGUCUACCAUCUAAUUGAACAUCAGUAAAUAUGUUAUUAAGGUAGUGUGCUUGACAGUGUGCUCUUUUGCAAUCAAGGCCAAGAUGUAGCCAGAUACUCAUCUUAAUCUCUUGAGACACAUUUCUAAUGAAUUUUUACAGUGCCCAGAGGUAAGGUCCCUGGUCUGAAGUGGGACACCUGGAUGCUAAAAGCAAAUUAUAAUUAAUAAUAUAUUGUUUAUGAUGUCAGAGUGUCAUCUAAAGACAGUGGUAAAACCUUGUAUAGGCUACUGCUGGAAUCCUAUUAAUAAAAUUGCUUACUUUAAAUCACUCCCAGGGCGUAAGAUAGGAUGUUCCUUUGUUGACAGUACUUUUUCUUGAAUAUUUAUAUUUAUGGUCUAUCAAGGAACCACCCAGUACUGAGAGAAGCAGUAUUUUGAAAUAACUCCAUUGUAUUGCAAUGUCUUUGUUAUCAUUCUGUCCUGUGAAGAUAUGGAUAAACUUCCUUUCUGCUUACCAGAAAUAUGGCAGAAGGUUGAGGCUCUGUACCCACUGCAAAAUGCAGGUAGGGAGGAAAGCUAUACCUUCUUAAGAUAAGUAUAUACUGUCUCCUUGAUUACUCAGUCUGCUAUGAGUAAUCAGUCCUCAUUUCUACAAUGGCAACUUUUUGAUCUUCUUUUUUCUGCUGCACUGGAGAAACAUUUUAACUCCAGUUUUUUGGAAUAAAAUUUAUAAAUUUUACUCAAAAAGUGUGCUGAAUUCUACCAUAUACGAAAUUAAAUCAUUGCAGUGAUUGCUGCAGAAAUGGAUUCUAGUUCUGAUUUAAAUUCACAUUUCUAGUCAACAUAAUUUUACUGCAAGAGGAUUUUGUUUUCCUUUUACCCCUAGGUUUUCUUAUUAUUUUUGAACCAUUGAGAGAGGAAGGAUAGAAUCCUAGAUCCAUUGCAGUGCUGGAAAAUAUGCAGAGAACUACACUGAAAUGAGAGCUCAAGGUGUUCAGAGCUCAAACAAAAGCAAUUUGGGUACUGUAGUUGGUUUUGAGCAGUCUUCUCAACAUUUUAGUUCCAAAAACUACAGAACCAAUUGAAAAAAAAAAAAAUCAAUUUAUCACCUUGUGCAGUAGCCACAAAUGAUUUCAGUAAUAGUAAUAAUAAAGACUGAACCAUGAAUUUUAGUGGUCUGCUUUUUUUUUUUUUCAAUUAUAUACUUUUUUACCGUUGUUAGUUGACUCUUACAUGUGUGAAAGUAUAUGUUUGUUUUAGUUUGGGAUGCACUGUGGUAUUGCUUCUGAAAAAAAAUAUGUGCAACAGUUUUGCAGGCAAUUAUCUAAUAUUUCACAAUCUCGAAACAGCUCCUGGAUGGCAGACCUGAAUUAGAAGACAUAAAAAUUGCCUUCAUUAAGGUAUUUAUCAGAAAGACUGAAGUAACAUAUGAUGGAAUAAUUUUUAGCAAAUCCUUAUUACCAGAUAUGAAGUAAAUUUUCCAUUAAUUAAUUAGUACAGUCUUUGGACAUUCAUCCUUGAUCUAUAGAUUAUAGAUUUUUAGGAGACAGCACAAUGUGAAACCUUUAUUGUUGUAAUCACAUGGCAAAAAAUAAAAGGCAAUAACACGGCAGAAAAACCCCACAGCUGUAAUCAAGGUGGUAACAGGACAAGUUCUAUCUGAGCUGGGAACACCCAGAAGAGCACAUCUUCUGUGCCAUAAGUGCAGGCAGAGGUCAAAUACAUAAAAGCAGUUGCUGAACUAAAGCACACGGACCUCCUAAAAAAAUGGGGUGAUCACCUAUCAUAGAAUCAUAGAAUGGGUCAGGGUGAAAAGGACCUUAGAUAGUAUCUAGUUCCAGCUUCCCUAGCUUCCAGGCUAUGCCACCAUCCUUCCCAGAAGGCUCUCUCAGAAGUUGUCCACUGUCACCAAGCAAGCCAGCAGCAGAGCAGGACUCUUGUCCCCCCAGCCCUGUCCCACCAGCCAGGAGCAGAUUGAGUGCCUGGUGCUUUUGCCCAGGUGAGGGUGGGUGAGCACAAUACAACUUCAAACUGAGCAGUGCAAGCUGUAAGAAAAGCACUUGUGAUGUCCCUGUUCUGUCACCCUAAUGAAACUCGCAACUGCAAAAUCUGGAGGCCUGAUUUGAACCUUUUUAACCCUGGGGCAUGGCCAUAGAGAUAAAAGCACAGAGUGGCAGAGUAUAGUAAUCUUCAGAAUGUGUGGCAUCAUUAUAUUCAGACGCUGUGUAAGUCUGAUACAAUAGCUCCUACUGCAUCUUAUUUGAACUUGAACUAUACCUUAUUUAGGGCAGAGAAACAUUUUCAAAAUUGCCUGGACAUCAUAGAAUUUUUUAAAGGUAUAAUUUUCAGCUUUUCCAUUGAUCUUUUUUUUUUCAAGUCUCUAGUCCACUUUCAUCUAUUUGACUGCAUCAUAGGGAUAGCUGUAUUUGCCUGCUAGCGUGAAAUGCUGGAGGGUCCUUCAAUUUUUGUAGUUUCAGAUUGUGGUUUAUCUUGCCAAAAAAUCUGGGUAUGGGGAUGAAUACAAAUGUAUCUUGUUCAUCAUAUUUGCCUUCUGCUCAGGGAUACAAGGAAGCUUUCACUGGAUGCAGAACAUACUGUAUUAAUUUCUUAGAUUUGGUUUUGCAUGUGGUACAAGUAUUUGUUUUGCUGGAUUCUCAAAACUUCUGGAGAAAAGAAAAGCAAUGUUUCCAUGUAAAUGUCUUUCCAAAAAACAAGCAAACAAACUGAAGAGCCAAGAUCUCCAUCGCGGCGCUGCUCAGCUGACCUCAGCCACUUUGCACGAGGAGGGAGCGUAGCCUGUAUCUGCUGUAGCUGUAUCACUGCAAAUGAAAAGCAAAGGCAGUAUUUCCUCCUACCAGGGUUUUGUCAGAAAGGGAGGUCUGCUUUCUGUACACACACUAGCAGUGCCUGAGGGAUGGGGCAAGUUUUAUUUCCUGGUGACAUGUAUGAAACGCCCUUUAAGUGCAAGAAAAUCGGGUAAGUUUGGAAGAAAAAAGACUAAGAGUAAAGCAGGGAGUAUUAACUACAAAUGAAGGGGACGGUCCUUAAGAGGAUCAUUUUCUGCUCUUAAAUCUGGUGCCCGUAUUAAAAUUUCUCCCAGCAGCAUGUGCAUGACUGAUACUUAUUCAGCUGAUAGCGCAAAGCAACAGUGACCCUGGCACCAAUGCCGAGGCAAUAUUUACAAAAGGAUGAACUAUUUUCGAACAAUGUCUUCAAUGUACUAAGCACAAACAAGCUUUUCUUCAGCAUCAGGCAUGCAUGUUGUCUCGUUCCAACGAUUUUGUUCAUGUACAAAUGUAUUCAUUGUGGACAAUGCAAGGAAAAUGUCAUUCUCCAUUUAUAUCCCAGUUUCCCUUUGUCCUCUUUACAGUAUCUUGGGGCAGUGAUGCAGAGCAGAGUCUUGUUCUGAACUCCUGCUAUUUUCCUCUCCAUCUUCUUCCGAAGCACUCAGAGAAGCAGAGCCUCAGUGAGUUAAAAGGCUCCCUACAGCAGAUUUUUUUUUUUCUUUUGAGACACAAAAAUCGGUCUCUCUCCCUCCACUUCCCAGCAGAGAAGAUCUAAGUCCUGCCUCUUGCUCCAUCACUCAGAGCGCAUAAUGGUCUUGGCAGCAGAGGAUGUGGUGGUAGCAGCGUUUUGAGCCAUGUAAGUGGGUGCACCUGGCACAGCAGUGUGAAUAAGCAAUGUUAAGGCAAUUCUCUCCCAGCAAUAUAUGAAACCAUCCACUUCAUGAACAGCCUCUCUGUGAUAAAGGCUGCCUUUCUGUUGACUUGGAUAAGUUCCCCAGUAUGAUCAAAACAGAAUAAUGGAGGACUUUGAAAGAAGGGCCCUUGUACAGAAAAUAAUUAAUCUUGCAGCAGAGGGGCAGGGAGAAAGAUUUAGUGACACUUGAAAACAAAAAACAAAUCCCCAAGUCCUAGGACUAAACUAAAAAGCACAAGUGCAGGCUCACACUGUGUUUUCAUUGUAGAACAAAUCGUCUGUCCUGAAAGCAUCGUUCUUGGGCAGGUUGGACACCAUUUCAGGUAGGAAUUGGGAACAUUAUUUUAAAGGGCAUUUCAGGGAAAUUCUAUUUUGCCUUUCAAGCAUCAUCUGAUUUUCUUCAAGGUGGAAAUGUCCCCUGCUCUCAACUGCGGCAUUCCACUCUGACAAGACAGAACUUCAACCCAUUGGAGAGGAAAUGAAUGAAGAAGUCCAUGUGGACCAACAGGAGUAGUAGGCACUGACACUGAAUGACAUCUUGGGAUAGCAUUGAAUGUACAUUCAAAAGAAAAGUGAUGAGGCCAUUUAAUCAAUAAAUGUAAUUGCAAUUUUUGUCCUUUAAUCUUUUGAUAACAACUCUUUGUGCCUGAGACACAGAACCAGUCACUCUAGGUCACUCUUGGUCACAGGUGGGAUAGUUCUAGCACCUGAAAACCCACAGGAGCCAUGCUAAAAGAAACAGACUUGGAAGAUUGAUCUGCGGCUUAAAAAACCAAACUAUUUCCACUUAUACAGGCUCAUGGAUUCUGGAAUAAAUAAGACUUGCGUCCUUCUCGACUCCUCUGGGGACUGUGUACGUGGAAUGGUGCAUUCCCUAAGUUACGGCAAAAUGGAGAGCCCAGCUCUGUACCAGGGAGCCCACCUCGACCUGCUCUGCCACAGAUCUCCCCUUUUUGUAUCCUUAAAUGUUCCAUCGAUUGAUAAUUUCAAGUGAGAAACUCGCAUUCCAGAGAUGUCUCCGUGCAAGUACAUUUAAAACACCAGGCAAUUUAAGUUCGCUACAGUGCAAUGGUUUGGGGCAAUAAAGACGAAAGGUUUUUGUUAGUAUAUUGAAGUUGUUACAGAAUAAAGCUUGGUUAUAACACAAUCCGAGAUGUCUUGCGGGUUCUGUUAUGCCUUCUUACACAGUAAGUGAAUUAGCAAAAUGGCCUGUGACGAUUCCUCUUGAGCAUUUCUUCACUCUUCUUAAAGUGAUACCAAGAGGUCUCCUUGAAAUUUUUAAUUAUUUUCUAGCCCUCCAGUUGAAGGUAACAGAUUUAUUUAUUGUAACUGAUAAUAAUGAAAAGAUAAAUGAACUCUGAGCCUAGUUUUGAUUUUUUAAAAAAAGUGUUCCGAUCUGGAAGAAGUCUAGAUUCAAAUAAGUCUAGAAAAAUUAUGCUAGAAAUUGUGAAGUUAAAAAAAUUUAUUUCAGCAACAUAAAUCAUUUGGGUUGGAAGGGACCUCUGGAGCUCUCUGAUGGUACAACCCCCUGCUCAUAACUGGACCAGCUUUUACACUAGCUCAGGCUCCAUGGUGCCUUGUUCAACUGAGCUUGAAUAUAACUGAGUUGGGGGGUUUUAUGCAUUCUCUUACUCUAAUAACUUGCAAAAUUAGAAUUCAGUCUUAAUGUCUGAAACAAGGAUUGCCUGACAGUGUAGGAAUUUUGCUUCCAAUAGCAAAAUUUUGUUUGCCUUUGAAAUUCCUUGACACAUCUCAAUAGCAAAGAGAAAUUUAAAAAAUCACCAUUUAUAAUCCUGUAGAAAUAAAAGCAUAGAAAAAGUCAAAUCUCAUUAUUUUUAAGGCAAAAUUGAAGUUAUGAUGACAUUCUUAGCUGUGAAAAUUCAUACAUUUCUAAGUAUGAAUUUAGAUACAUGGAAAAGCUUCUAUGCAAAGUCAUUGGGAAAAAAACCUCAAACAAAAAUCCCUAAAAUAUAUUAAAUUUAUUGUGUACUUUCACAGGUUUUUAAUUUACAAUCUCACGUGUGUGUGGCAAAACUGAGUGCUAUUCAGUGGACUCGUUCUGAUGACUCAAAUCUGCUUUAGGAAGAGGACUACACAAAAGAAAGGUCUUUGCUGCUCUGCUGUUAACACACCUUUCCCAAAAAGAGGGGUGGGAAGGAAGGAGAGUUGAUCUGGGCACUAAUACUUCUUCUCCUCAGCUGGAAAUAGGUGCAACAUCAGAAUCAAGGUGGCAGCACACAACUCUGCUCAGAGAGAGAGUAAAUAACUAUUUUCUUCAUGCUGGAGGUGAGGAGUAAGCAUGGAGAAGGUGCAAGACUGACUCAGCAGCACCCACCACCAGCCCCCGGCCUGGCCCCCUGUGUCUGGGAUCCACAAUAAAUACACGUGUCCCAGGGAAGACAUAUGCAGGGUGGGUGUAGGAGCCAUUCUGUUUCUUGGGAGGUAACAGGGUUUGGUAAGGAAACUUGAGUCCAGUGCGGUGUCAGACUUGAUUGUGUGCUACUGGUUCAGCAACUUAGCAGCUGGCUGUCAAAACAAUAAUCCAGCAGCCUUUUUCCCAGGUGAGGGGGAAACAACAGGAAAUGCAAAGUGAUCUGCCAGAAAGUUUGCAGUGGACAUUUGGACAAAUGCAGGAGGUCCAGCCACUCUCAUUUGUGCUGUGAACACCUGGACAGCAAGGAGCUCUCGUGUACACCUGUUCCUUUUGCCUGCACUGUAUUUUGUUGCAUCCAGGGACACUAAGGGUGAGGAAAGAGCCACAUUCUUCUCUUAUGACUGCUUAUCCCGAUCCACAGCACCUCUCCACCGGCCUUCCCCAUGCCCCACACGUAUACACAGCCCCUAAAGCAAGCAUGUUAAGACUGGAAGUGUAAUCCAAGCUUGCAUUAUAAUUCUUCCUAUGUAGCUCAGUCAUUAGUUACUGUGGAGCAGUUAGGAACUAACAGGUCUAGCAGAGAGAGAUGGUGUUUUCUGGUGGCUUUUUCCAAGCUCCCAGGACAAUUUUGGCUGUUGUCCUGAGUGGCUCACAGCCCCGUCACGGUGUUAUCUGUCAGAAACUCAGCAGCCCAAAGCUCUGCAGCCACAGAGGCGUGUGCCCUGUGUUUAUACCAUUUCCUGCUGGAGCCAUGAUGUUAAAGGCCGUACUGUCCGCCUGUUUCUCACGCUCCUCCGGUGUGCGUGGCCCCAGUGUCCCAAAGAAUUGUCGGGUUGCAGAAGAAGCCAAGAGGCAAAGUUCAUCUUUUUGUUCUGAGGCAGCACACUGCCUGGCACAACUAUUCCUGGUCCCUGACUCAGAGCACAACCAUCUUUGAAAUAAAUAAAAUAAAGAAGGAGAACAUCUCUGGGCCUAUAUUUGACACUUGUAUUCCCAGACCACUUGGCUUUAUAUAAACAUACGAAUUGGUAUGGUGGUUAUUUUGACUCAUCUGCUUAGCAAUAAUUUUAUUUUAAUCAAUAUUUAUUUAACUCACCAGCUAGACAAAAGCUCCCUAAUUUUUUCAUCUUAUUUAAUUGAUGUUCCCUGACAGAAUGAAGCUAGGCUGGAUAAGACAGUACAAGCUGUGCCAGUCUUCUUUGGUUUGCAUCUCUUUUAACAAGUCCUGUGACUGUCGCAGAGCCAAGGCACAUCUUACAUCUCGCAGAGGAAUUGGGACCAUACGUGGCUGUAUACCCUGGGACAAGGAGCCACGAAACACGCCAAAACAAUAAGUGUUGACACAAUAAUUAGCAUAUUGAUUCUCCGUGCAAAUUACCUCUUCAUACAUUGUACAACACUUUGCAUUUUCAGAGGACUUCAGAGGAGCCUGGAGUUUCUUACAGGCACCACAAUAAUUAAAAACACGUCUUCAGUUGUAACAUUAAAAUACAAUUCUGGGUGAAAGAUCAUAGAAAGAAACAUGCACGUUGUGCAGAUAAAAAUGUGUGGGAUGCACCUACCUGAUACCCCCACCCCCAAACAUGCACCAUAAAUUAUAUUCCUGAAGGAGCUUUCAGGCCAUAGAUAUUUCAGGCCUUCUUAGAAGAACAUUUUGCUUUUUAUUUGAAGGAAAUUAUCUGUACCUUGUGUCACCUCAGCCUCAUGCCAAGGGUGAGGAGUGGCUGCAAGUUGAAGGAUUGAAUCACAAAGCUCAAUCUUAGCCCAGUACUCCACUUGCCUGGAAAGAAAGGUUCACUUUAGCAAAUGCUAAAACAGACUGGCUUUCAGAGGAACUAAUUUUUCAAGCUCAGUCACAAGUGCAGGGGGAAAAAUGAGCUCUCACAUUUAUGUCAGUGGAGUCCCACAGAAACUAUGACUGUGAAGUCAACACGUGAAAAAGCUUACAGGAGCAACCUGUAACUUGCUGCCCAGAUUGGUUCAUGCCCAGAUCUCUCUGCCAGCAUUUAAAGUCUUUGUAAAAUGCUGAAGUGUAAAGGGUAGCACUGUCUCUCAAGGCCAAAGUCAACUGAUAUUAGGAAUGGGUACAGUAAUUUUACAACCAUUAACAGCAUUAAUGACCCUGUAAGCCAAGACAGAAAGCUGCCAGAAAGACUCAGAACUGCCUCUGCAAUGAGGAAAAAUUGCCUUGCCUCCACAAGCAUACUGCACUGUUGUAAAAAUCAGCUAAAUAUCUCAACUGCAGGCUAAGAGGGCAGAGCUGUCUGCAGUGACAGAGACAGAUCCCAUCCAGAGACAAAUGUGACACCAUGAAGCACCCACCAGGACACCUAGAUUUGAAUGUAGGUCGAGAUACAUCAGAGCAGGGUGGUGAGUCCUACAAAGGGACCUCUUCAUCACUGCAAAGUUUUAGGAGCAGGUCACCAUCCUCUAAUGGAGGGUCCUGAGGUUCAUCGAGAAGACCAGAGCUCAUAGAUGGUGCCUUUCCCUCCGGCAAUGCCCUUUUUGUGCUCCUCACCUGUGUUGCCACCUGCUCACACUGCCACAGCCUCUUGAUGGAAAAAUACCAGCUGCCAGCACAUUCAAGUGCUUCAGGUAAGGCUUUGAGAAGGGGCUUGGAAAAGGUCUUGGAAAAGAUCCAGAUCCCACUCCUAAGGGCUCCAGGAGACAAAUGAAGAAAUCUCACCUUCUCCAAAGGCACUCAAGUCUGCUCAAGAUUUGUUCAAGCUUGAUGUUCUACACAAGCAAGUCAUACAAGGUCAGAUGCUCCCUGUACAGCAGCUCUUGAAACCAUUGCCUGGUUUUGGUCAAGCAUGGCAGGACCGAGGAUCUCUGUGAUCACCCAGCUCCUGGGAGUUUUCAUGCAAACGUUACCAUUUCCUGGUUUGCACAGGAAGGUAUGACCAGAGGAGUUAGGGGUGCUGGCAGAGGACAUGGAAGUGCAUAUGGAUUCACUGGAUGUCUGUUCCCCACAGCAGAGGAGCAACUGAUUACAGCUGGAAUCAUGGGACAUGCCUGCUCCAAGGCCAGAUCCUGGCUUCCAAGUGUGUACAUCCAGAAAUGAGGGGAGGUCCCAGCCCUGGGAGGUUGAGUGGCACCGUAUGAAAUAGCUUUCAUUCUGGUCGAAGUGCAAUCCAGCUCCUCCACUCUGUGCCCCAACAAGUCCUGGCUGUUGGCAAAAGCUGCCAUCCUUGAAAACUGCCCAUAAUUGCAGGCUUUCUGUGCUCAGAGGGAAAGGGGAGGGACUGGAUAAAAAAAACACCUCGAGUCUUUGAAACACAGAAAACAUGUCUGAGUCGGUUCAAUAGCCUUUCACAGACUCAAUAAAAGAUUAAUCAAAUCAUCCACAAUGAAAGCAAGUUUGGCAUCCUUGUCCCUGGGCUAGUGGUAAUGCAGAAUCCUCACCUGCAGUUUCUUACAGUUGAUGCUAUUAUUCAGGAAAGGCCUCAAGUACUGUCCUGUGGGGGUGAUAAAAACCCCACCCCAAACCCAAAAGGAUGCAUGGGCAGAAUUGGGAUAGAAAUUUUUACUUUUUCUGCCUGUGAACAAUAAUUCAUGCAGUUAGUGCUUUAUCAGAACUAAUUCAACCCAGUUUUUCAUUUAAACUACAGGAAAGCAAGUUCAAGUAGGUUUCUCUAACAUAAAGGAUAUCUUUUAACCCAGCUUUUGCUCCUGUUCACCCCACCCCCACCCAAUGCUAUUAAAUGGCUUGAAACAUGA